rnacentral:rRNA from 1 species
UGGGGAAUAUUGGACAAUGGGGGCAACCCUGAUCCAGCCAUGCCGCGUGUGUGAAGAAGGCCUUUUGGUUGUAAAGCACUUUAAGCAGGGAGGAGAGGCUAAUGGUUAAUACCCAUUAGAUUAGACGUUACCUGCAGAAUAAGCACCGGCUAACUCUGUGCCAGCAGCCGCGGUAAUACAGAGGGUGCGAGCGUUAAUCGGAAUUACUGGGCGUAAAGCGAGUGUAGGUGGCUCAUUAAGUCACAUGUGAAAUCCCCGGGCUUAACCUGGGAACUGCAUGUGAUACUGGUGGUGCUAGAAUAUGUGAGAGGGAAGUAGAAUUCCAGGUGUAGCGGUGAAAUGCGUAGAGAUCUGGAGGAAUACCGAUGGCGAAGGCAGCUUCCUGGCAUAAUAUUGACACUGAGAUUCGAAAGCGUGGGUAGCAAAACAGGAUUAGAUACCCUGGUAGUCCACGCCGUAAACGAUGUCUACUAGCCGUUGGGGUCCUUGAGACUUUAGUGGCGCAGUUAACGCGAUAAGUAGACCGCCUGGGGAG